GGCGGACGGGUGAGUAAUAUAUAGGUAAUGUGCCCUAGAGAAGAGGAUAACAGUUGGAAACGACUGCUAAUACUCUAUAUGCCUUUAAGACAAAAGUCUGCAAGGGAAAUAUUUAUAGCUCUAGGAUCGGCCUGUACGGUAUCAGCUAGUUGGUGAGGUAAUGGCUCACCAAGGCAAUGACGCCUAACUGGUUUGAGAGGAUGAUCAGUCACACUGGAACUGAGACACGGUCCAGACUCCUACGGGAGGCAGCAGUGGGGAAUAUUGCACAAUGGGGGAAACCCUGAUGCAGCAACGCCGCGUGGAGGAUGACACAUUUCGGUGCGUAAACUCCUUUUAUAUAGGAAGAUAAUGACGGUACUAUAUGAAUAAGCGCCGGCUAACUCCGUGCCAGCAGCCGCGGUAAUACGGAGGGCGCAAGCGUUACUCGGAAUCACUGGGCGUAAAGAGCGUGUAGGCGGGUUAAUAAGUUUGAAGUGAAAUCCUAUGGCUCAACCAUAGAACUGCUUUGAAAACUGUUAACCUAGAAUAUGGGAGAGGUAGAUGGAAUUUCUGGUGUAGGGGUAAAAUCCGUAGAGAUCAGAAGGAAUACCGAUUGCGAAGGCGAUCUACUGGAACAUUAUUGACGCUGAGACGCGAAAGCGUGGGGAGCAAACAGGAUUAGAUACCCUGGUAGUCCACGCCCUAAACGAUGUUCACUAGUUGUUGUGAGGCUAGACCUUGCAGUAAUGCAGUAAACACAUUAAGU
rnacentral:rRNA from 1 species